GGCGCCCUAACAAAAAAAAAAAAUUUUUUUUUUAUUUGGGUCUCCCCCCAAAUUACAACAAAAAGGGGGGGGGGGGGGAAAACCCGGGGGAAUCCCCCCUUUAAAGGGGGAAACCUUGGAAAAGGGUUAAAUCCCCAAAAUCCAAAAACCCCUUGUUUCUGGUUAAAAAUGGCUUAAGCUUUUCCUUUUGGAAGGACCCGCGGCGUAUUAGCUAGUUGGUGAGGUAAUGCUCACCAAGGCGUUGAUACGUAGCCGAACUGAGAGGUUGAUCGCCCCCAUGGGACUGAGACACGGCCCAAACUCCUACGGGAGGCAGCAGUAGGGAUCUUCCACAAUGGACGCAAGUCUGAUGGAGCAACGCCGCGUGAGUGAAGAAGGCUUUCGGGUCGUAAAACUCUGUUGUUGGAGAAGAAUGGUCGGCAGAGUAACUGUUGUCGGCGUGACGGUAUCCAACCAGAAAGCCACGGCUAACUACGUGCCAGCAGCCGCGGUAAUACGUAGGUGGCAAGCGUUAUCCGGAUUUAUUGGGCGUAAAGCGAGCGCAGGCGGUUUUUUAAGUCUGAUGUGAAAGCCCUCGGCUUAACCGAGGAAGCGCAUCGGAAACUGGGAAACUUGAGUGCAGAAGAGGACAGUGGAACUCCAUGUGUAGCGGUGAAAUGCGUAGAUAUAUGGAAGAACACCAGUGGCGAAGGCGGCUGUCUGGUCUGUAACUGACGCUGAGGCUCGAAAGCAUGGGUAGCGAACAGGAUUAGAUACCCUGGUAGUCCAUGCCGUAAACGAUGAAUGCUAGGUGUUGGAGGGUUUCCGCCCUUCAGUGCCGCAGCUAACGCAUUAAGCAUUCCGCCUGGGGAGUACGACCGCAAGGUUGAAACUCAAAGGAAUUGACGGGGGCCCGCACAAGCGGUGGAGCAUGUGGUUUAAUUCGAAGCAACGCGAAGAACCUUACCAGGUCUUGACAUCUUUUGAUCACCUGAGAGAUCAGGUUUCCCCUUCGGGGGCAAAAUGACAGGUGGUGCAUGGUUGUCGUCAGCUCGUGUCGUGAGAUGUUGGGUUAAGUCCCGCAACGAGCGCAACCCUUAUGACUAGUUGCCAGCAUUUAGUUGGGCACUCUAGUAAGACUGCCGGUGACAAACCGGAGGAAGGUGGGGAUGACGUCAAAUCAUCAUGCCCCUUAUGACCUGGGCUACACACGUGCUACAAUGGAUGGUACAACGAGUUGCGAGACCGCGAGGUCAAGCUAAUCUCUUAAAGCCAUUCUCAGUUCGGACUGUAGGCUGCAACUCGCCUACACGAAGUCGGAAUC
rnacentral:rRNA from 1 species